CCUACGGGUGGCAGCAGUGGGGAAUAUUGGACAAUGGGGGGAACCCUGAUCCAGCCAUGCCGCGUGUGUGAAGAAGGCCCUCGGGUUGUAAAGCACUUUCAGUGAGGAAGAACGCCUGGUGGUUAAUACCCAUCAGGAAAGACAUCACUCACAGAAGAAGCACCGGCUAACUCCGUGCCAGCUGCCGCGGUAAUACGGAGGGUGCGAGCGUUAAUCGGAAUUACUGGGCGUAAAGCGCGCGUAGGUGGCUUGAUAAGCCGGUUGUGAAAGCCCCGGGCUCAACCUGGGAACGGCAUCCGGAACUGUCAAGCUAGAGUGCAGGAGAGGAAGGUAGAAUUCCCGGUGUAGCGGUGAAAUGCGUAGAGAUCGGGAGGAAUACCAGUGGCGAAGGCGGCCUUCUGGACUGACACUGACACUGAGGUGCGAAAGCGUGGGUAGCAAACAGGAUUAGAUACCCUGUAGUC
rnacentral:rRNA from 1 species